rnacentral:lncRNA from 1 species
UCAGAGUACUGGCUUUCACCUGCUUGUAGAACAGUAUCCAUGAAAAAUUCAUGUCCAUAAAUGAUAAACACCAGAUGUUUACUGAAAAUGCCACUAUGACUUCAAUCCCUGCUUUCCCUUCUGUUGUGGCGAGAGAUGUGACACUUGGUUAAACGUCAGGAUUCUUCACUCAGUCCACAGGUUCCUGGACAUAAAAGUAGCAGCCUAGUGUCUGAUACCUAGCAACCACCCUGUAGGUAACCUCGACCUUGAGAUACGUGUUGGAAAAGUUGUUCUCAUCUUAGUCUGACUUUUGAGGAUGAUGUUUGAUCUCUGAUUUAUAUAUCACAAAAUGAAUUCCUCAGUAUCUUCUCAGGAUGUAGUCAUUGUUAUCUGAAAACUCAAUAAUAGAACUUUGACGUUUCCUUCCAACUUUUUGAAAGUUUUGGACAUAUGUCUGAAUUAUUGCACAGUGAGGACUGUUUGCUAAACUGAUAGGUGAGGCCUAAAACUCUGGUGGUUGUAAGGAGGCAUUUGUUAUGUCUGUUCUAAAGGAUGAAAAUAUUAAUGCUUACCAAUAUACGCAUAGUUUUAAUUCAUGGACAUUCUUUUUGUUGAUUUGUUUAUUUUGGCUGCACCUGCAACAUGUGGCCAUUCCUAGGCCAGGGACUGAACCCGGGCGCUAGCAGUGACCAGAGCCACAGCAGUGACACUGCUAGAUCCUUAACCCGCUGAGCCACCAGGGAACUCCACAGACAUUCUUUAUUGUAACUCUUGAAAGGAUCACAAAGUGCUUCAUUUUAUAAUCUUCUUUUUUGAUGAAAUAUUCAUUAACUUUUUAUGAGUCUGAACGCUUGUGAAUUUUGGACAAUGAGCUUUCAUAAAUAUUCACUGAAAAAUCAUAAACACUUUAUCCUCUGUAUGGAACAUUUAAUUAAUUAAGAGUUAAAACAAACUCAGAGUAUUCCCAUUAGAUAUUAAAGAGUGGCUUCUGUUUUACUCUGAAGCCAUUACUGAAUAUAUUUUAUAAAAUAAUAUCAAUGAAUUUGCAGUCACGGGAUGCAUCCGUAGCAUAAGCGCUGCAGAAAGGAUGUGCUCCUUCUGUUAGCAAUUCUAAAUAAAUUGCUAAUCAAAGGCAUCUCAGUGUAGGGGCUUCAUGGAGGGCUACAUUCACCAAGAACGUGAAGUUGCUGCAAAGGCAGGCUGUUUUUUCACGAUCGAGGGAAGCUGGUUCUAAAGAGGAUCACGGAGGGAGCCCUCUUGUGGUUACAUUCCCUGUGACCCAACGCCAGUGGACACCCCCCCUCCCCCAGAGAUUGGCUGAAAGAAGCUACAAAGAGUACAUGGUCUUUCACAGACGUCUAAUGUGCGAUUAGAGAUUAGUGUAAGAUAAAAGGACGACGCUAAUUGGGUUCAGUUGGUAACAAGGGGCAUAGUGUGUCCUCUUUUUCAAAUGCACACACUGGCUUAAAGCUUCUUAUUAUUACACUUUGAAGGAAUUUAAAAUUUAAUAGCCCUGUUCUCACAGGAAGAAAUAAAGACAGCACAGGGCUUACAUGCUACCUUGCUUACCGAGCACAUUUAAACAAAAUCCAGACCUAAAUGGACCAAUCCUGAAUUUCAUGGGCCUUCCUUACCAGUAGGUACAAGCGAACAUUAUCCAUUGUGGGAAGUAAAUACAAGAAAAUCAUAUGAUCAACUCGAAGCAAAGUUCAGCCUGGAAAUUACCUCUGAUUUGCAGCUUUCAGUCCCUGAAAUCUGGAUCACAUUUCUUCCCCAUUCUGCAAAAUGUAAAUAGUUCAACUAAAAAAAGAUGAAUGAUUUAGAAUGAAAUGGUAUAUUAUUCAUAUUACAACUUGUGAUUCCAGGAUGUGUUCAUCACACUCUGGGUUGUUCCUUGUUGCUCGAGGGGCCAUUUGGAACACGUGCAGGAGAAGAGCAGAGCCAUGCGUUUUCGUGCCAUCCUGGAAAAACCAAUGCCAGACCCGCUGGCUGGAGGUAUUUCACCGACCGUACUGAGCAUAUUAGAUGUGACUUCAAAGAAAAGAGUGUUUUAAUCGCAGCUGACUGCGGUCUGGACUCAGUGUGACAGAGACUGGAGUGCUCGAUUCCCUCGGCUCCACACUGUCCAGUUACACGUCACUUACAUGGGGCCCCUAAAAAGUGACUUCCACUAGGAAGGUUUUAUCCUUUCAUCACAUGAUGAGCCAGACAAGAAAAAUGUUUUUAAUGUAAUAAAGAGCCUCAAAGAAGCCAUAACCCCAGGAAGCUCCUUCCUCCGGGAUGUGCUCCAGGCCAGGACCCCCCCACCCUGCAACCCCCUACCUCCUCACACGCAGGACAAAGGGUCCUCCCUCUGAGCAUCUCCUCCAGUCAGACCCCAAUAACCCAGGGAAAUGUCUGCUAUGGUGGGUCUCCUCACUAUAUCCACUGUGUCCACUGCACAGCCAGCGACGACGCUGACUAAGCAAUGGCUGUUACAGUUCCGUGGGAAUCAGACAUGUUCUGGAGAACAGAGUGUCUGCCACCUGCUUUGGCUUGAAUGGCAGCAGUGCAGGCUCCUGUUCUUUGUCAUUGUGGUUCCUACGCUCACCCCCACUGUCACUACCUUGAUGCCAGGUCCAGGCAUAUCCCGCUAUGGCGGAAUGGGAGAGGAGAGCAGCAUAAAAUAGAGGAAAAACGCAAAUAAGUACCUUUGACCCUAAUUAAAGUGCGGCUGAGGGGAGGAUUGUCAUGAGGGAAGUGGGGCUUGGAUGAGAAUCACAAAACCUCAAAACAUCUGUGCACCUUCUCUAAGAGUCUGAACUGAGUGUGGAUUUGCGACAGGAUUCCAGAUUUUACCUUGAGUUCAGUGUUACAGAUGCACAUAGACAAUGGGCCAUGGAUGGAGACAAUUCUGCUUUCAGCAAAUGUUUCACCAAUAUUUUCCCUAAAUGCAGGUAAAACUAUUGUUUGACAUUUACUGUAGAAGCACCUAUAUUCCACAUGCUUUUGUGAAUGAGUUCUGGUGUUUAAACACAUACAGAUGCAAUAAUAAGCAAAGCAGUCUAUGUCUCACAUAACAUUGCUUGUGCUUUUCUGCACUUAACUAUUCAUAAAUUGCCUUGAACUAAUGACCUUGACUACAUAAAACUAAUUUAUAAUAUUGUGAUGGGUUUACAAUACAAGUGAGUUUUCUAUGGCUCCUGGCUACAGCUUGGGAAAAUUCUGCCACAAGUACUUUUUCCCCCUCUUCCUUUCUUGUGAUGAAACUCAUCAAGAUUCAUUGCCUUCUCUGGGCUGAAGUUCAAAAUCCAUUUGAGCUUUGGAUCAUCGAUAAAAGUCUUAACACUUCAUCUGAAAGUUCAACAGAGUUUAUUUCCAU